GCUAACGGCCAUAUCAGCCUGGGUACGCCCGAUCUCGUCUGAUCUCGGAAGCUAAGCAGGGUCGGGCCUGGUUAGUACUUGGAUGGGAGACCGCCUGGGAAUACCAGGUGCUGUAAGCA
rnacentral:rRNA from 1 species